rnacentral:rRNA from 1 species
UGGGGAAUUUUGCACAAUGGGGGAAACCCUGAUGCAGCGACGCCGCGUGAUUUAGAAGGCCUUCGGGUUGUAAAAAUCUUUUCUAUGGGAAGAAAAUGACAGUACCAUAGGAAUAAGGACCGGCUAAUUACGUGCCAGCAGCCGCGGUAAUACGUAAGGUCCGAGCGUUGUCCGGAAUCAUUGGGCGUAAAGGGUACGUAGGCGGGUAAGCAAGUUAGAAGUGAAAUCCUAUAGCUCAACUAUAGUAAGCUUUUAAAACUGCUCAUCUUGAGGUAUGGAAGGGAAAGUGGAAUUCCUAGUGUAGCGAUGAGAUGCGCAGAUAUUAGGAGGAAGACCGGUGGAGAAGGCGACUUUCUGGCCAUAACCUGACGCUGAGGUACGAACGCGGGGGUAGCAAACAGG